UACGGGGGGAGCAAGCGUUGUUCGGAUUUACUGGGCGUAAAGGGCGCGUAGGCGGCCACCGCAAGUCGGUUGUGAAAUCUCCGGGCUUAACCCGGAAAGGUCAAUCGAUACUGCGGGGCUAGAGUGCAGAAGGGGCAACUGGAAUUCUCGGUGUAGCGGUGAAAUGCGUAGAUAUUCGCAAGAACACCAGUGGCGAAGGCGGCUUACUGGUCCGGUUCUGACGCUGAGGCGCGAAAGCGUGGGGAGCAAACAGG
rnacentral:rRNA from 1 species